AGUCCGGCAUUUGCAGCAGAGCGAAAGGUGGUCGAGUCCUGAAGGAGGGCCUGAUGUCUUCAUCAUUCUCAAAUUCUUAGGACGGUCGGGCCCUGGAGGGAACGCUCUCGGAAUUGGCCGCGGAAACCGAUCUGCCCGUUGUGUUUGUGAAACAGAGAAAGAUAGGCGGCCAUGGUCCAACCUUGAAGGUAGGAGAGAGUAACGUAUCUUUUUAAACGGGGCAUGAGCUCGUUGAGCUCAGCGUGGUCACAGCCUGCCUUUUAAAGCCAGCGUGGAUGUGACCCUCCAAACGGGACGCAGCGCUGGGAAAUGACGAAAAAACCCUCGUGGGCUAGCACAUGUGUUAAUCGAAGUUGAUCAGACGUUGGACAAAUUUCACAUCCUGGGAAACUUGAAAUUUCUAACGCUUUUCAUCUUUUAAAAUAGCUUUUUAAAAAUGUCCUUUUUCUCCUAUUUCCCCUUCCUCUUUCCCUCCCAGUUGUAAAUAAAAUUUUUUAGCAGCAAUGUAAUCUGCUAAAUGUUAGUUGUUUAGGGAAGUCCUGAGAAAAGGGG
rnacentral:sRNA from 1 species